UUCUCCUCUAAAAUAUUAAAAUAAAUAAAUUUAAAUAUUGAAAAAAAUGAAAUUUUACAGGUUCUGAAAACCUUGAAAACGCUCCGAAACAAACAACUCAUACCCGUAUCUUUAAAAAUGUAUACUUUACCUCUAAAAAUUCCUCCCAAUCAAAGUACAAGUCUCUCAAUCUCUCCCACACUAGCAUACACAAACACACCGUUAAACAAGGAGACACCCCGGAAAGAAAUGUCAAAAAGCCGUACUGUUUUUUCAAAGACCUGACAAUAAAAAUACAAUUGUACUUAAUCCCACUUCAUCUGAUGUUCAUUUCUCCAUCCAAUCCCUACAAUGUCAACACAAUUCAUGACAUUCCAAUGUAACUGUUCUCUACAAGCAGAGAUUUAACGAAAAUAUUACACAUUCUAGGAAAAACAAGGAAACCCAUAUUUUGAAGAGAGGGGGAAAAAAACGGUAUUUAAUUGAUUAAAUGCAAGGUAUGUUACUGACUUGAGACCUAUAAAAACAUUAAAAAAUAAAAAUAAAAAAUGCAAUGCAGGAUGCAAUACCCUCAAUAAUAGGUUGAAGACCCCCAACCAAAGUAUACCAACAGAGUGCAACAGUUAAAAUACAACCUGACCAUAUGACAGACAUAAUGAUGAACUGAUACAGACAUGAAUAAAUGAAAAUGACUCAGAAGUGAAAAAUCAGUAAUGAAUUGAGGGUCUUGUAAAAUGUGGCACUUGGGUGGUCUUCAAGUGUCACAAACCUUCGACUGACUUGCUGCAGCCCUCCACUCCCAAAACCUAGAGGUACUUCUGAGACAACCACCAAGACAGCAUGGGUAGUCUGGUAACGAGAGAUCUCAACCAUUACAAGGACCAACAAACAACUGACAAGAUGCUGCCUGACCUGUAUCUAUUCGCCAAAUCAAUGUUACCUCUCCCUCGCUAGGAACAAAUUUUUUUAAAGCUUUUAAUGGACGCCUUCACCCAUGUCUGCAAAUCAAUGAUUACCCAAUGCCUCUUUGACAGAACAGAACCAUGAUGCUGAUGCAAGAGUUAGUGACAACCUGAAGACCGAUAACUUCUGUUAUCUGAAAAUGACAGAUGACCUGACUCGAAUGCAACCCGGACCCGACUCAGUACACCCAAAUGCAUGCAGGGACUUGAAAUGUUAAAAAAUGUUGAGUAGCAACACCCUCAGACAGAAAUGGCACGACUGAUGGCCAACUUGGCCCAUUCAGCAGAUUCCUUUAUCAUAUGAUCUUCAGAAGACAAACAUUCAUUUAAAAAGUCUUUGACAGAAAGAGAUUGCUGUAUCAAAGAACCAGCAUUACUUCCCAGUGUAUCUGCUAAAUCUCCAAGGACUCCAAUUGCUGUUUUCAUGACCACAUCAUCCAUGUCUUUCUCCAUGUAUAUGCUAUCCAAGAACUGGAGGAUGUGGGGUGCGUAAGGAACCAAGAGUUGCAUUUUAGGAGAGUUCUUAAACCCUUGAAGAAUUCCUGAAUAAGCCUCCAAAAUUCCAUUUCUCAGUGAAUUUGUGUAGUCAAUCAUUUCAUCAUCGGCACCAGCUGCAUGGGCAGACAACUCUGCAGCACUUUGGAGCAUGGGCAUGGCAUACAUCAAGUACUUCUCAAAAUUCUCUCCUAUUGCCAAGGCAAUGUCACCAAAACAUGAGAAUAUGGGAGGCUUCACAGAUCGAUGCAACUGAUUGCUAGAUAAAUCCUUGAGAAGUUGUGUCAUGAUCCCAUCACAAUAAGGCAAAAUUUUAUCCUCUAAUGCCCUGCAGAUAUCCCCCACAACACCAACUGUAACAGCACAAACUUGGUACUCCUCAAAAUUUUGAAGACCCAUUUCUAAAUAUUUAAAAAACUCUGCCAUGUAUUUUGAAAAAUCUGGACCAGAUGCAUAGGCAAGGGCUCCAAUUGCUAGCAUUGCCUCCUCAUGCACAGUUGCAAGUCUGCAAGCAAAAACCCUCAGGAAAAGCCCCAUUAUCUGGUCCGCAUAUUGCAUGAACACAACCUUAGUAGGCUCUGAUGAACCUAACUUCUGAAUGAUGACUUGUAAACAUCCACAAAGUAGACCUUGCAACUCACUCUGUUUCUCUCUCUCAUCAGAUGCAAGCUUCUGCUCUUCAAGAGUUUUGUGAAGCUCUGUCAUAAUUACGGGUACCAACUGCAACACCAUGGGUGCUGUUUCAUCAGUUGAGCACCUCACAACUUCAUUCAGUGUUUCAUAAGCAGCUGUCCUCAAUCUGGACUCCCCAGCGUCUUCUCUGUGAGUAACAGUUAGAAGAGCAUGCACAAUUUCCUGGAAAUAAGGUGUCAAUGGAGAUGAUGGACCUGCCUCUUCAUAACCUUGGGCAAGGAAAUAGAGGGCACCACAUGCCUUCUCAGCCACAUUUGGAACAUCCUUCAUGCUCUGAAGCAGAACUGUGAUGAUCUGUUGGCAAUUUGCUUGAGUAAUUAUAGGUGUGUCCACAGUUGAACCAUGAAGGAAUUCAAAAAUCCGCCCUAGAGUCCAAGCAGUAGUGUCUUUCACAUGGUUAUUUGGGUCCUUCGUUAAAGCAGUGAGCAUGAAAUUCAAAGCAACAUUAACAAUAGAUGUCAACUUGUCAGGGGAAGGUCCCUCCAAGAUAGAGCCAAAAGCAUAUGUGGCUGCCUCCCUUUGCCUCCAAUCUGGCUUUGUUAUAUUUUCUUCAAUGAAUGGCAUGACCAGUGGCACAAUAUCAUCUCCCACGGUGCGUGCAACCAAGCCAAGGCAUGUGCCCCCUGCCAUUGCAAUGUUCCAAGCCCCUUCAUCCUGAUCCUGAUCAUCCUCUUGCUUAAGAAGGGUCUCCAACAACAUUGGGAUAAGAGCAGGGAGUGCCUGCUUGAUAAAAUAAAAACAAGGGACAUCAGAAUCCCCAGUGAAAUCACCUCCAUAUUCUUCCAAGAUGUCUAUCUCCUCAUCACAAAUUGAACUCCAAAACUCAAUUGCCUGAAGAGCCACAGGUUCCUCAUCUUCCCUCACAGCCUUUGCUGUGAUGUUAAAGACGUCUUGCAUAUAGCGAGCUAAUUUCUCAUAGUACAUUGAUGAAAUGGAGACCAAACAUUCAAAAGCUGCUUGCCUUAUCUUUACUUCUGGGGACAAAGUUGCCUCACAUACAACUCUCAUGAUAUAAUCACGCUCCAUAUCAUUACUAAAAUUUGCUUGAGCAAAGCCUAGAGCAUUGUACAGUGCUCGGGUAGCAGCAAGCCUGACAUCAUUGUUUGCUUCAGAUGCAUUCAUUCCUUGAACUACAGCAGUAAGAAUUUUAUUUACUUGAUCUUGAUCCACAACAUCAGGAGAGAUUUCCUCACAUAAAUAUCCAAGAGUCUCUAAUGUUGCCUGCUUCACAUGAGCCGGUAGCUGGUGAAUGUUCAAUAAUAGUGAUCCUAUCAACUCAGGCCACUGUUUCUGAGGAAGCUCAAUGCCGGCAACCUUGGCAACUACUUGAGAGGCAGUUGACCGAGCAUCAGACGCUGUAGAAGAGAGGGUAUUUACCAAGCAUACCUUUAUCUGGCUCUUCACAGCAGCAUCCAAAGACAACCAUCUCUGGACAAGCUCAAAUUUUCUAUGUUGUUCCUUUGCAUCCAAGGCAUUCUUUAGUAUCAGACCUGCUAAUUUACGGCUAUCAACAGGCUUAUCUUCAUUAGCUAGCUCCCCAGACAAUGAUAACAGAAAACUAGGCAGAUUUUGCUCCUGAAAUUGUUUCAAGCUUUCCUCAGCUUGCUUCCUAACAUUUCCAUCUAUUGAUUGUGCGUUCAAAAGCACCUGGGUAACUUCCAUUGCCAUAGUGUAUCUGGUCGAGCCACGAAAUUGAAGAAGAAAACAAAGAGAAGGAUCGAGAAGAGUGAAACGGCGCACUCCAACCCUAGCACUAGCAGACAGUGGAGGGGAGGAAGAAGAAGAAGAUGCGGACGUGAAGCAAAACUUGAAUUAACGAAAAUCAAAAA
rnacentral:misc_RNA from 1 species